GCGUCGGUAGUGCAAUCGGUUAGCACAACAGACCGUAUAUCUGUUAGUGCGGAUUCGAACCCCAUCUGUGGUU
rnacentral:tRNA from 1 species